GCCAGGUGUGGUGGUGCACUCCUGUAAUUCCAGCGACUCAGGAGGCUGAGGCAGGAGGAUCUCAAAUUCAAGACCAGUCUCGGCAACCUAGUGAGGCCCUAAGCAACUUAGCGAGAUGCUGUCUCAA
rnacentral:sRNA from 1 species